rnacentral:rRNA from 2 species
CGAAGAAAACUUUUGCAAUGUGCGAAAGCACGACAAGGUUAAUCCGAGUGGUUUCUGCUAAAGGAACCUUUUGCCAGUCCUAGAAACACUGGUGAAUAAGGGGUGGGCAAGUUCUGGUGUCAGCCGCCGCGGUAAAACCAGCACCUCAAGUGGUCAGGAUGAUUAUUGGGCCUAAAGCAUCCGUAGCCUGCUUUGUUAGUUUUCGGUUAAAUCCAUUUGCUCAACGAAUGGGCUGCCGGGAAUACUGCAAAGCUAGGGAGUGGGAGAGGUAGACGGUACUCGGUAGGAAGGGGUAAAAUCCUUUGAUCUAUUGAUGACCACCUGUGGCGAAGGCGGUCUACCAGAACACGUCCGACGGUGAGGGAUGAAAGCUGGGGGAGCAAACCGGAUUAGGAUACCCCGGGGUAGUCCCAGCUGUAAACUAUGCAAACUCGGUGAUGCAUUGGCGUGAUGCCAAUGCAGUG